rnacentral:lncRNA from 1 species
GCCGAGUUGUUCUUCAGACUCGGCGAGUAGCUUGAAGAUUUACUGGGACUCGCCGAGUUGUUCUUCAGACUCGGCGAGUGGAGUCGGGGUGGCCCCGCGAUUCUUCCAGGAGUAACUCGUCGGGUCGAGGAGGAUACUCGACGAGUAGAUAAGGAAUCUCAGAAAGUUGGAGGACGUCUAGACUCGCCGAGUCGCCAUGGUACUCGCCGAGUCCGGUCGAGUUGACCGUUGACCGUUGACCAGAGUUGACCUAAGUCUGACUUCUUAGGGAUAGUCACACUUAGAAGAUAUAAGUAUUAAUGAGAUAUGUGAUGUUAUAGGGAGGUUGUAGCUCGUCGGUUGUGCACGAGUCAUUUCGGGAUUUGCUAGCGUUCAGCUUUUACGAGGUGAGUCUUCUCACUAUACUGUACCCGGAAGGGUUUGACUGUGUGACCGGAAGGUCGGAUAUGAUAUGUGAUAUGUAUGCUAUAUGUGGUAAGUUAUUUGUUAUAUGUGCUAUGUAUGUUAUGGGCCGGAAGGCGAUUAUAUUAUGGGCCGGAAGGCAAUAUGUUAUGGGCCGGAAGGCGAUAUGUUGUGUGAUGGACCGGAAGGUCGGCGUGGGUAGGACCGGAAGGUUUACCCAGCAGGGACGGAAGUCCCCUGAGACACAUGGACCGGAAGGUCGGGCCUGGAAAGGCGUAUGUGCGUAAGUUGUAUAUUGGGGAACUCACUAAGCAUUUAUGCUUACAGUUGUUGUGCAUGUAUUUCAGGUACUAGCGAGGACCGUGGGAAGGCGCCGGCAUGAUCGAUACACACUGAAGAUUGUCUUUAUGAUCUUGGGAUUUUGAAUAAUUGUAUUUGACAGAAUACUUAACCUAUUUAUGCCUUGUUUAAAAUGGAAACAAUAUGUUUUUAUAAAUGAAAAAUUUGUUUGAAAAAUUUGAGUUGUUACAAUUGGUAUCAGAGCCUUGGUUUGAGGGAUUCGGGUGCACCUUAGGGGGUAACUGAACUCAAACCGAGGAUUUGAGGAAACUUUUCAAAUAAAGGCAUAAACUUUUGUAAAUGGUUUUGUGGUAAGCAAGAAAGAAGCAGUGUGUACGAUCAGUCAGCGCCCGAACGGUAAAGAUCCCCAAAAUACCUUACAAUAUUAUAUGAUAUGAAUUGUUAUGCAUGCUAGAAGACUAGGUAUUCAUGAUAGGACUAGAGUGGCCUGAUUUGUGAUGCCUUAGUCUAGGGAAGUUUGCCUAUAUGAGAUGCUUUGCUAGUAUGCGGGUAGAUAGUGCAUAUCAGAAGUAGAGUACUCACUAUCCGGAGUUUGGGGAGGAGGACUUGGGAUGAACACUGAUGCGGUGUGGUCGGUAGUAUUGGGCCCGUACUACCGAGGACACCGGGUCAGUGGGAGACCCAAGUAAGAAUCCCUGGAUAUCGGGGACGGGGUAGGGUUGCGUUAUCGAGUGCAAUUACACUUGAUGGAGUCUCUGAUAGUUUUAUGUUGUAUUUCAGAGACAUCAUGGUUAGACCACGCCACGGAGCGAGUACGAGCGGUGUGAGUGACGAGGAUAUUCGUCAGAUGAUUCACGAGGAGGUGGCGGCGGCGAUCCGGGCUGAGAUCCCGGAGAUGUUUGGGUCUAUUAAGACCACCCUGAUGGAGACAUUCGAUGAGCGGUACGCCGCGUUGACUGAGGCUGCAACCGCUGCAGCUACCGCAGCUGUGGCCGCUGCUAGGCCACAGGGGGGUGACUCAUUGCUGUUCCGAGAGUUCAGCAACACGAAGCCACCAGAGUUCGAUGGGACGCAGGAUCCGAUUGCUGCGAUGAGGUGGAUCGCAGAUAUAGAGGGGUGCUUCUACACUUGUUCAUGCCCGGAGCACCUGAGGGUACGGUUCGCUUUGAACCAGCUCCGUCUGGGAGCGAAGGACUGGUGGAAGUUCGUGACGGCGAACUUCACUUUGGCAGAGACUACAGCAGUGACAUGGGAGGGGUUCACUGCCAUGUUCAGGGAUGAGUACGUUCCCCCGGUGGAGCGGGAACGAUUGGUUCAGGAGUUCUUAACCCUCAAGCAGGGUACUGAUUCGGUGGCGGCGAUCACGCGGAAGUUCCAUGAGAGGGCGAUGUUUUGCCCCGAGCUGGUGGCCACAGAGCAGGCUCGGAUGAGCCGGUACUUGGGUGUUCUGAGGAGGGAGAUCCGGGAGUUUGUGUCAAACUCCACUUACCAUACUUUUACUGAGCUUCAGGCGAAUGCCAGGAAGCGUGAGAUCGAGUUGGAGACUCAGGCCAGGGAGGAGGCCGAGUCUCAGCAGGCAGACCGGCGACCGGCUCAGUCUCAGCCGGCAGCCAAGCGGAUCAAGUCCGCCGAUUCGAGGACGGGAGGUUCGAAGAACCGCACUUGCGUAAAGUGCGGCAAGGGUCACGAUGGGGCGUGUCGAGCCGGUGCUUGCUACAAGUGUGGCAAGGAGGGACACAUUGCUAGGGAGUGUCCCAAGGGAUUUAUGGUUUGCUUUCAUUGCAACCAGACCGGCCAUCGGAAGGCCGAGUGCCCUCAGCUUCGUCAGGGAUCUGCACCUGUUGCCAGGACUACUGAGACUCGACCGGUGAAGGUCGAGGCCCCGAGGGCUCGUGGGAGAGCCUUUCAGCUGACUGCGGAGGAGGUCCGCGCUGCGCCCGAUGUUGUGGCAGGUAUGUUGUAAUUCAUGUAUUUAUUUUAAUGUCGAGAUGUUAUGCUUAUGUUAUUAUAUGCGUAGGUACUUUCCUUGUGAACUCUGUGCCUGCCUUAGUGUUAUUUGACUCGGGUGCGAGUAGGUCCUUUGUGUCCUUAGCCUUUAGUCAGCAUAUCGGCGUUAGUCGUGAGUCGUUGAGUCGACCUUUGAGAGUUUCUAUAGCUGACGAGAAGGUGAUUUGUGCUACGGAGGUUCUUCGGGGAUGUGUACUAGAGAUUUUCGGGGUUGGAUUCCCGAUUGAUCUGAUUCCUAUCGCGAUGGGGGAUGUCUGUGUCAUCGUGGGCAUGGACUGGCUGAGCCGGUUCGGCGCUGUCAUCGACUGUGAGCGUCAGUUGGUGACUAUACGAGACCCUAGAGGGGGAGUUCUUUCGGUGUACGGCGAGGGUACCCGUUCGGGAUCAGCUUUUUGUUCGGCCGCUAGGGCGAGGCAGUGUCUACGGCAGGGCUGUAAAGGUUUUGUGGCGUAUGUGAUGGAUACGCGGGAGGUUUCCGAGAAACCGAAGUCAGUUGAGGAAGUUCCGGUGGUGCGCGAAUUUUCAGAUGUCUUUCCCGAGGAGUUGCCGGGAGUACCGCCUGUGAGGCAAGUAGAGUUUAGUAUUGAUCUGGUUCCGGGGGCAGCACCUAUUGCUAAAGUGCCCUAUCGUCUUGCACCUCCAGAGAUGCAAGAGUUGUCCUCGCAACUCCAGGAGUUGCUGGGGAAGGGAUUCAUUCGGCCGAGCAGCUCGCCAUGGGGAGCACCUAUUCUGUUCGUCAAAAAGAAGGAUGGUUCACACCGGAUGUGCAUUGAUUACCGGGAGUUGAACAAGCUAACGGUCAAGAACCGUUACCCGUUGCCGAGGAUCGAUGAUUUAUUCGAUCAGUUGCAGGGAGCAUCUUGGUUUUCCAAGAUCGAUCUGAGGUCAGGAUACCAUCAGGUGAGAGUACGGGAUGAAGACGUCCAGAAGACAGCGUUUAGGACGCGAUAUGGACAUUAUGAGUUUGUGGUGAUGCCUUUUGGACUCACCAAUGCCCCGGCUGUGUUCAUGGAUCUCAUGAACAGGGUAUGCAGGCCGAUGUUGGAUCGGUCAGUGAUCGUAUUUAUCGACGACAUUCUGGUGUAUUCGAGAUCGAGAGAGCAGCAUGAGGAGCAUUUGAGGGAGGUCCUUGAGGUAUUGAGGUCGGAGAAGCUUUAUGCAAAGUUCUCCAAAUGUGACUUCUGGUUGCGGGAGGUCCAGUUUCUAGGACAUGUGGUUAAUCAGAAAGGGAUAUUGGUCGAUCCGGCCAAGGUUGAGGCGGUGAUGAGUUGGGAGGUGCCGAAGUCACCCUCUGAGAUCAGAAGUUUCCUUGGGUUGGCAGGGUAUUAUCGGAGAUUUAUCAAGGAUUUCUCCAAGAUCGCAGUGCCACUCACCAGAUUGACCCGGAAGGGUGUUACGUUCUCAUGGGGGCCCGAGCAGCAGACCUCCUUUGAGACACUUCGCCAGAGAUUGUGCGAAGCCCCGGUAUUAGCUCUCCCAGAAGGGAUGGAAGAUUUCGUGGUAUAUUGCGACGCAUCGAUUUCGGGAUUGGGUGCAGUGUUGAUGCAGAGGGGUCAUGUGAUAGCUUAUGCGUCGAGGCAGCUGAAGCCUCAUGAGGCGAGAUAUCCCACGCAUGAUUUAGAGUUGGGGGCAGUAGUGUUCGCUCUCAAGAUUUGGCGUCACUACUUGUAUGGGGUUCGAUGUACGAUAUACACGGACCAUAAGAGUUUGAAGUAUUUGAUGGAUCAACCCAACCUAAAUAUGCGUCAGAGGAGGUGGUUGGAUGUGGUCAAGGAUUAUGAUUGUGAGAUCCUGUACCACCCAGGCAAGGCUAAUGUGGUAGCCGAUGCAUUGAGCCGCAGGGCGGAGAGCACUCCAUUGCGAGAUGUAUGCUUGAGACUGACUGUGAUGACUCCAGUAUUGGACGCUAUUCGUGGGGCCCAGGCAGAGGCUGUGCGACCAGAAAUGCAGAAGAAAGAGCGGGUUGUGGGGUUAAUCUCAGAGUUUGUCAAGGAUAGUCGAGGCCUUAUGACGUUUCAGGGUCGGAUUUGGGUACCGUUCGUGGGCGGUACGCGUAUUACGUUGAUGGAAGAGGCUCAUAGAUCGAAAUUCUCGAUCCAUCCCGGUGCUACAAAGAUGUAUUUGGAUUUAAGGAAGGAAUAUUGGUGGCCCUGUAUGAAGAGGGACGUGGCAUGGUUCGUUGAGAGGUGCUUGACCUGCCGUAGGGUUAAGGCUGAGCACCAGAGACCGCAUGGCAAGUUACAGCCAUUGGAGAUCCCCGAGUGGAAGUGGGAACAGAUCACUAUGGAUUUUAUCACCAAAUUGCCGAGGACUGCUAGGGGAGUUGACGCAAUUUGGGUGAUCGUGGAUAGGUUGACAAAGAGUGCACACUUCCUUGCCAUCAGUGAGAGUUCUUCGGCGGAGAAAUUGGCGGAGAUAUACGUGAGAGAGGUGGUAUCUCGGCACGGGGUGCCGAUCUCGAUUGUGUCAGACCGUGAUGUGCGCUUUACUUCCAGAUUCUGGAAGAAAUUCCAUGAGGAGCUGGGUACUAAAUUGCAUUUUAGUACCGCAUACCAUCCCCAGACAGACGGUCAGAGCGAGCGGACAAUUCAGACGCUGGAGGACAUGCUCCGAGCGUGUGUGUUAGACUUCGGGGGUAGUUGGGAUGCGUAUUUACCAUUGGCAGAGUUUUCCUACAACAACAGCCAUCAUUCGAGCAUUGGUAUGCCACCUUUCGAGCUGUUGUAUGGUAGGAGGUGUCGGACCCCCAUUUGCUGGGGAGAGGUGGGACAGAGAGUGAUGGGCAGCACGGAGAUCGUGCUCCAGACGACAGAGCAGAUUCAGCGAGUGAGACAAAGGUUAUUGACUGCCCAGAGCCGACAGAAGAGUUAUGCAGACAGGCGCCGAUCCGAGCUUGAAUUUCAGGUCGGCGACUUCGUUCUCCUGAAGGUCUCUCCUUGGAAAGGAGUGAUUCGAUUCAGGAAGAGGGGCAAGUUGGGGCCCCGGUAUAUUGGGCCAUUUCGUGUGAUUGCAAGGAUAGGUCGGGUAGCCUAUCGGUUGGAGUUGCCAGCGGAGUUGGGUCAGAUCCAUGACACUUUUCAUGUGUCGCAGUUGAGGAAGUGCAUAGCCGAUGAGUCGGCAGUGGUUCCAUUGGAGGAUAUUCAGGUGGAUGCGAGCCUGAAUUACGCGGAGAGACCAGUGGCUAUCAGGGAUCGGAAGAUCAAGGUUCUGAGGAACAAGGAGGUACCUCUGGUGUUGGUUCAAUGGCAACACCGUAAGGGAUCAGAAAUGACUUGGGAACCGGAGCGCGAAAUGCGGGAGCAGCAUCCGGAACUAUUUGCAGAGUGAGACUUCGAGGGCGAAGUCUAAUCCAAGUGGGGGAGAGUUGUAACAGCCCGGAAUCUCAGGUAUUAUUAAAAUUAUGUUUUUGGGGUGAUUUAAGAGGGGACUCGGCGAGUUGGAGCCUAGACUCGCCGAGUAGGAUCGCAGACUUGGUCGCGGGUCCGCGACUGGACUCGACGAGUCCAGAUAUGGACUCGGCGAGUCGACGCUGUUCAGCAGAAACCCUAACCGUUCAGUUUGGAUCGUAUUUAACGCCUCUUAGGCCGUCAUUUUCAGUCUUUUGGUCAAUUGAGAGAAACCCUAAUCGCUGUGGACGCCUAGAGCAAGGGAGAAAGCUUUGGAACUUGGAAGAAUUGGUUAGGCAAGAAGAAGAGGGAUUUGGCUAAAGGAAUAUCAAGGAGGAUUGAGUCCUGAGAUUUGGGGGACACAGAGAGUGCGUUUUCAGGUAAUACUCGGACCAAAUCUGUUAUUUUGAUGUAUUUAUGAAAUUAGGGUUUAUAGAACCCAUUUAGUGAUUUGAUGAAGUAAUGCCUUGUUACCCCACGAUUAUAGUCUUGUAUUAGGACCUUUAGAGGUCCAGAAGGUCCCAUGCAUGUGUACUUCGGGACGAGACCUAUCUCAGGAAGCAGUUACUCGUCUGCAUGGCAUGGACUCGCCGAGUUGUUCUUCAGACUCGGCGAGUAGCUUGAAGAUUUACUGGGACUCGCCGAGUUGUUCUUCAGACUCGGCGAGUGGAGUCGGGGUGGCCCCGCGAUUCUUCCAGGAGUAACUCGUCGGGUCGAGGAGGAUACUCGACGAGUAGAUAAGGAAUCUCAGAAAGUUGGAGGACGUCUAGACUCGCCGAGUCGCCAUGGUACUCGCCGAGUCCGGUCGAGUUGACCGUUGACCGUUGACCAGAGUUGACCUAAGUCUGACUUCUUAGGGAUAGUCACACUUAGAAGAUAUAAGUAUUAAUGAGAUAUGUGAUGUUAUAGGGAGGUUGUAGCUCGUCGGUUGUGCACGAGUCAUUUCGGGAUUUGCUAGCGUUCAGCCUUUACGAGGUGAGUCUUCUCACUAUACUGUACCCGGAAGGGUUUGACUGUGUGACCGGAAGGUCGGAUAUGAUAUGUGAUAUGUAUGCUAUAUGUGGUAAGUUAUUUGUUAUAUGUGCUAUGUAUGUUAUGGGCCGGAAGGCGAUUAUAUUAUGGGCCGGAAGGCAAUAUGUUAUGGGCCGGAAGGCGAUAUGUUGUGUGAUGGACCGGAAGGUCGGCGUGGGUAGGACCGGAAGGUUUACCCAGCAGGGACGGAAGUCCCCUGAGACACAUGGACCGGAAGGUCGUGCCUGGAAAGGCGUAUGUGCGUAAGUUGUAUAUUGGGGAACUCACUAAGCAUUUAUGCUUACAGUUGUUGAACAUGUAUUUCAGGUACUAGCGAGGACCGUGGGAAGGCGCCGGCGUGAUCGAUACACACUGAAGACUGCUUUUAUGAUCUUGGGAUUUUGACUAUUUGUAUUUGGCAGAAUACUCAAACUAUCUAUGCCUUGUUAUGAAUGGAAAUAAAUAUAUUUUUUUUAAAAG